rnacentral:rRNA from 1 species
UACGUAGGGUGCGAGCGUUAAUCGGAAUUACUGGGCGUAAAGCGUGCGCAGGCGGUUUUGUAAGCCAGAUGUGAAAUCCCCGGGCUUAACCUGGGAAUGGCAUUUGGGACUGCAAGGCUGGAGUGCGGCAGAGGAGACUGGAAUUCCUGGUGUAGCAGUGAAAUGCGUAGAUAUCAGGAGGAACACCGAUGGCGAAGGCAGGUCUCUGGGCUGACACUGACGCUCAUGCACGAAAGCGUGGGGAGAAAACAGG